UACAGAGGGGGCAAGCGUUAUUCGGAAUUAUUGGGCGUAAAGGGCGCGUAGGCGGCCAUUCAAGUGACGGGUGAAAGCCCUCGGCUUAACCGAGGAACUGCCUGUCAGACUGGAUGGCUUGAGACCGGGAGAGGUGAGUGGAAUUCCCAGUGUAGCGGUGAAAUUCGUAGAUAUCGGGAGGAACACCAGCGGCGAAGGCGGCGACCUGGGUGGAUACUGACGCUGAGGUGCGAAAGCGUGGGGAGCAAACAGG
rnacentral:rRNA from 1 species